AGACACCCAUGGUAUGCAAGCCUCUGCGAUCGAAACGAAAUCCCAGUCGUUAGCAAGGAGAGAAGCUCGCGAGGGAGAAAUGGCCGGGAGACUGAGCGGCGUCGCGUCUCGCAUCAUGGGCGGCAACGGCGUGGCGGCCCGAUCCGCCGCCUCCGCCCUCCGGUCGCGCUCCGGCAUGGGCUUCCCCCUCGGCAAGCACAUCGUCCCCGACAAGCCUCUGCCGGCUGACCACGAUCUGCUUUGGGACAACGGUACCCCUUUCCCGGAACCCUGUAUAGAUCGGAUCGCCCCCACCGUAGGAAAGUACGAAGCGUUGGCAUGGCUGUGCGGAGGGCUCAGCUUCUUCGCAUCGCUCGGUUUGCUUGCUGUCUGGAACGACAAAGCGUCCAAGAUACCCUAUGAUCUGUAGCAUGGAUACUUGCAAAUUGGGCACCAUGUUGUGCGACUGCAACUUUAGUAGGCACCCAAAGUUUAUCCAUAUGACAAUCUGCGGGUGGAGCUUGGUGGGGAACCAUAAGACAUUGUUCGAGGUCUUGUGACAGCCUCAAGAGCAACCGGGCAAUCUGCUGAUGCUUCUUUACAUCGGUUCCUUGACUUUAUUUGGUGAUCCUGCAACUGGAAUAAUAUAUACGCAUUCUGAAUGCUUCUUUUUUAUGCUCUCUUCUCGACAUGGAUGCAUAUGCGUGCUAUUUUCUUAAUUAUGUUGAAGAACAGUAGUUACCUUUUCUC